rfam:Schistosoma rodhaini strain Burundi genome assembly, scaffold: SROB_scaffold0008088
AUCCAGCUGAUGAGUCUUAAAUGUGACGAAACGCGCGUCCUGGAU